rnacentral:rRNA from 1 species
GACGAACGCUGGCGGCGUGCUUAACACAUGCAAGUCGAACGAUGAAGCCGGAGCUUGCUCUGGUGAAUUAGUGGCGAACGGGUGAGUAACACGUGAGUAACCUGCCCUUGACUCUGGGAUAACUGCGGGAAACUGUAGCUAAUACCGGAUACGACCCUCGGAGGCAUCUCCUGGGGGUGGAAAGAAUUUCGGUCAAGGAUGGACUCGCGGCCUAUCAGCUAGUUGGUGAGGUAACGGCUCACCAAGGCGACGACGGGUAGCCGGCCUGAGAGGGUGACCGGCCACACUGGGACUGGGACACGGCCCAGACUCCUACGGGAGGCAGCAGUGGGGAAUAUUGCACAAUGGGCGCAAGCCUGAUGCAGCAACGCCGCGUGAGGGACGACGGCCUUCGGGUUGUAAACCUCUUUUAGUAGGGAAGAAGCGAAAGUGGCGGUACCUGCAGAAAAAGCACCGGCUAACUACGUGCCAGCAGCCGCAGUAA